rnacentral:lncRNA from 1 species
GUGGGGCAGCCCCGCAACCCAAGGAAACAUCUACCCUCCUUCUGUGUCUCCAGAUUCUCCUUGACAAGAGGUCAAGGUCGUUGCAGUCAAGCCCAUGGAAGCCUGGAAAUACUGGUCACAUGAAUGGCCCAUCUCCAUCGUCCUCCCCAGCCACAGCGGAGUGUCCACAGAGGACAGUCUUGGAUGGCACAGAGUGAGUCUCUGAGGUAGGACUCUGUUGAUUUAGUCCCACUGAGGCUGCUCUCCACCACCUGGCACUCAAACAUCAGCCGGCUUCACCAUUCCAAAAGUGACCAAGACUCUCCCCUGCUCUGCAGUGUCAUUCAGAGCUGAGGAUGCACAAGAUGGUGUCCAGCUGACCCCUUGCUCACUGUUGAGGCUGUCAGCCUUGUUCCAUCGUAGGGCACCAGGCUUCUUAUAAAUACUGGAGGACAGAGCUUGUUUUGUGCUCUCCAUGGCAUGGACCAGGACAACUCAUUGCCAUUUACUGCAUGAAAUGUUGCUUGACUUCACCUGGACAUAAUCGCUCCCUUCUGAACUUCCAUGGGUCUUUGUUUCUCUUUAAUGGCACCAAUGCUGUCCUACCAGGGUGGGCUACAUCUUUUGCAGAGCCCAAGACAAAAUGAAAAUAUGGGGCCUCUUGUUCAAAAGCAGCAAACAAGUGCCAUUAAAGAGAUUGAAACGGAAAGCGUUUGCCUUUUUUCUG